rnacentral:rRNA from 1 species
AUGGGGGAAUAUUUCCACGAUAAUGGAAUGCAUGCAUUAAUUAUAUAUGAUGAUCUAAGUAAACAGGCGGUGGCAUAUCGGCAAAUGUCAUUAUUGUUACACCGACCACCAGCCCAUGAGGCUUUCCCAGGGGAUGUUUUCUAUUUACAUUCCCAUCUCUUAGAAAGAGUCGCUAAAAGAUCGGACCAGAUAGGAGCAGGUAGCUCGACUGCGUUACCCGUGAUUGAAACACAAGCUAGAGACGUAUCGGCCUAUAUCCCCACCAAUGCGAUCUCCAUUACAGAUGGACAAAUCUAUUUGGAAACAGAGCUCUUUUAUCACAGAAUUAGACCAGCUAUUAACGUUGGCUUAUCCGUCAGUCGUGUCGGGUCUGCCGCUCAGUUGAAAGCUAUGAAACAAGUUUGCGGUAGUUCAAAACUGGAAUUGGCACAAUAUCGCGAAGUGGCCGCCUUCGCUCAAUUUGGGUCAGACCUUGAUCCUGUGACUCAGGCAUUACUCAAUAGAGGUGCAAGGCUUACAGAAGUGCCCAAACAACCACAAUAUGAAACACUUCCAAUUGAAAAACAAAUUAAUUUCUCAAUAUGA